rnacentral:rRNA from 1 species
CUACACCUGAAAUAAGCAAGAUUACCCCGCUGAACUUAAGCAUAUCAGUA